AACGAACGCUGGCGGCACGUUUUAAGCAUGCAAGUCGAACGGCAGUGGGGGCAACCCCAUGAGAGUGGCGAACGGGUGAGUAACACGUAGGUGAUCUGCCUUUGGGUUGGGGAUAGCUUGUGGAAACACAGGGUAAUACCGAAUGAGCUGACGAGGCUUUGGCCAUGUUAGUAAAGGUGCUACGGCACCGCCUAGAGAGGAGCCUGCGGCUGAUUAGCUAGUUGGUGGGGUAAAGGCCUACCAAGGCGACGAUCAGUAGCCGGCCUGAGAGGGUGUACGGCCACACUGGAACUGAGGCACGGUCCAGACUCCUACGGGAGGCAGCAGCUAAGAAUCUUCCGCAAUGGGCGAAAGCCUGACGGAGCGAUGCCGCGUGAUCGAUGAAGGUCGAGAGAUUGUAAAGAUCUUUUCCAACUGAGGAAUAAGUGGACCAGGGAAUGGGUUCAUGAUGACGUUAAGUUGGGAAUAAGCCCCGGCUAAUUACGUGCCAGCAGCCGCAGUAA
rnacentral:rRNA from 1 species